CCUACGGGUGGCAGCAGUGGGGAAUAUUGGACAAUGGGGGGAACCCUGAUCCAGCGACGCCGCGUGAGUGAAGAAGUAUUUCGGUAUGUAAAGCUCUAUCAGCAGGGAAGAAAGAAAUGACGGUACCUGACUAAGAAGCCCCGGCUAACUACGUGCCAGCAGCCGCGGUAAUACGUAGGUGGCAAGCGUUGUCCGGAUUUACUGGGUGUAAAGGUCGUGCAGCCGGAGAGGCAAGUCAGAUGUGAAAUCCGCGGGCUAAACUCGCGAACUGCAUUUGAAACUGCUUCCCUUGAGUAUCGGAGAGGGAAUCGGAAUUCCUAGUGUAGCGGUGAAAUGCGGAGAUAUUAGGAAGAACACCAGGGGCGAAGGCGGAUUACUGGACGACAACUGACGGUGAGGCGCGAAAGCGGGGGGAGCAAACAGGAUUAGAUACCCUAGUAGUC
rnacentral:rRNA from 1 species